rnacentral:rRNA from 1 species
AACGAACGCUGGCGGCAGGCCUAACACAUGCAAGUCGAACGCGUCCUUCGGGACGAGUGGCAGACGGGUGAGUAACGCGUGGGAACGUACCCUUUGGUUCGGAACAACUCCGGGAAACCGGAGCUAAUACCGGAUAAGCCCUUCGGGGAAAGGAUUUAUCGCCAGAGGAUCGGCCCGCGUUAGAUUAGCUUGUUGGUGAGGUAAUGGCUCACCAAGGCUACGAUCUAUAGCUGGUCUGAGAGGAUGAUCAGCCACACUGGGACUGAGACACGGCCCAGACUCUUACGGGAGGCAGCAGUGGGGAAUCUUGGACAAUGGGCGAAAGCCUGAUCCAGCCAUGCCGCGUGAAUGAUGAAGGCCCUAGGGUUGUAAAAUU